AUCCAGACUCCUACGGGAGGCAGCAGUGGGGGAUAUUGCACGAUGGGGGAAACCCUGAUGCAGCGACGCCGCGUGUGGGAAGACGGUCCUCUGGAUUGUAAACCACUGUCCCCAGGGACGAAGAUGACGGUACCUGGGGAGGAAGCUCCGGCUAACUACGUGCCAGCAGCCGCGGUAAUACGUAGGUGGCAAGCGUUGUUCGGAAUUACUGGGUGUAAAGGGAGCGUAGGCGGGAGGAUAAGUUGGACGUAUAAACUAUCGGCUCAACCGGUAGAGGCGUUCAAAACUGUCCUUCUUGAGUGAAGUAGAGGUAAGCGGAAUUCCUAGUGUAGCGGUGAAAUGCGUAAAUAUUAGGGGGAACACCAGUGGCGAAGGCGGCUUACUGGGCUUUAACUGACGCUGAGGCUCGAAAGUGUGGGUAGCAAACAGGAUUAGAUACCCUCGUA
rnacentral:rRNA from 1 species